AUACGGAGGAUGCGAGCGUUAUCCGGAUUUAUUGGGUUUAAAGGGAGCGUAGGUGGGAUAUUAAGUCAGCUGUGAAAGUUUGGGGCUCAACCUUAAAAUUGCAGUUGAUACUGGUUUCCUUGAGUACGGUACAGGUGGGCGGAAUUCGUGGUGUAGCGGUGAAAUGCUUAGAUAUCACGAAGAACUCCGAUCGCGAAGGCAGCUCGCCGAGCCGGAACUGACACUGAUGCUCGAAAGUGCGGGUAUCAAACAGGAGUAGAUACCCUGGUAGUCCGCACAGUAAACGAUGAAUACUCGCUGUUUGCGAUACACUGUAAGCGGCCAAGCGAAAGCGUUAAGUAUUCCACCUGGGGAGUACGCCGGCAACGGUGAAACUCAAAUGAAUUGACGGGG
rnacentral:rRNA from 1 species